rnacentral:piRNA from 1 species
GACAAAGGGUGCCCGGGAC